rnacentral:sRNA from 1 species
AGGUACCACUCGGACACCUGCGCUUGCUGCGCGUGGUCCCUACCCACCUGACGACUGCACGCGAUGUCGUGUCAGCU